UCAACUCAAUGAAAGAGAGAGAGUGAGAAGAACCAAAGAUGUUCCCACUACUCCAUUACCAAAAUCAUCCAUAAACAUCUCAUUUUAUCACCCAAACAAAUAACAAAAUCCGUCUUGGACAUCAGUCUCAUGGAUGCUGAUUGAACAUUUGGCAUCAUGAAGCUAAAGCAUCCUUUGUGUACACUUCUUGUGUUUGACUCCAGACAUCAUGCGCUCCAGUUUCUUAGGUCAUAAGACGUAGCUUUGUCAAGCAAGAUGUGUCCAAAUGGAUUAAAGUUCUUGUUGAUCCAGCUUGUUUAAUCGACUCUCUCCUUGGAAGAUCAAUGGACUUAUGAUCGAUGAUGCGGCUGCAGAGGUGGAUCCAAUCAGGGAAAUAUUCUACUGUCCUGUUUUCUCUCCUUGGCGUUUCCGCAGGUCAUGGCUCCAAAACAUUAUAUGAGAUGUCAUGACAUUGAAGUUCAGUGGGUGAUGUUUAAACGUUUUGGGCGCAUGCCUUCAGCAUAUGGGGAGGUGUGGAUUCUGUAGAUGUCAUGGAGCCAGGAGGCUUCUGGUGUCAAUGAAGGCUACCAUUUGAAGCUAAAGCCUACAUUGAAUGCUGAUUCACAUAUAGGAUCACUGCAACGAGUAGAUUGGUUAGUCCACAAGCUGAACACUGAAUUACACCCAAGCCACUGGUCCGACCGCUGCGCUGAUGAAAUAUUCUUCUCAAACUGUUAAGGAGGAUUACAUCUUCAUAGCAUCGAUCUUGGCAAAUUCUGGAAAAUUCUGUUGUCUUUGAUGACAAAAAUCACCUCUUUGCCAAGAUCAUUAGUCAGAAAGACCCGAGUCAGACACAUAUAGUGUGGAACCCGGGGUCAGAUUUCUCUCUUUACAACUGUUCGUGGUCAUUUCAAGGAAACCCUGGCAAGCAUGUGAUAAAGGAGAACAUAGUGUGUAAUGAUAAUUGCCAGGAUCAUCGGCCUUCAUUAUCAUUUCAGUCAUUCAGAUCAAUCAUUCUCAGUUUGUGGCAAAAACCCAUGGAUGAUUCAGUUGCACUUGAUCAGUCAGUUGCAUGGUCCCACCAGAUGUUGGACCAAAUUUAGAGAUCAGUUGAGUUGGAUAGUUCUAAUGGUGUUUCCAACUUCGUGAAGAAUUUACCCUUGAAUUGGGCUUCUCAAAAAAGUUAGAACAUCUGUUGGUUAUCUGCUCAUUUGAAGAGAAGCUCCCAAAGUGUUGCAUAAAAAGGAAUAGGAAAAGAACAGACAUACAAUGUUGAGUUGAGCAUUUGAUUCAGAAAAAUACCACCCUCGUGAAUAGUAGAGUGCUCUCUGAAGGUAUGUUUACUAAUUCUCUUAAACUUUUCAUGUCAGACAGUUAACAUCAUCAAUUAGAGUGAUUGUUUGCGUGUACUUCCCUUGAACACAGUUUUGAAUAAUUGAUCCACUGUCAUAAGAAACAUGUAAUUCUGGUUUUGCUACUACUUUUGGGUUGGGCAAGGAAAGUUUUUUUAUUAUGGUAAUCAAUCUAAACAGAAAAACUUUAUUUAUGGUAAUCUAAACAUUGUAAUAGUCGCUGGUCAGAUGAUAUUGUCAGUUUUUAACA